AUUGAACGCUGGCGGCAGGCCUAACACAUGCAAGUCGAGCGAGCGGCGGACGGGUGAGUAAUGUUUGGGGACUGCCCGAUAGAGGGGGAUAACUACUGGAAACGGUGGCUAAUACCGCAUACUUUCGGCUACCCCAGAUGUGAUUAGCUCGUAGGUAAGGUAAUUGCUUACCUAGGCGCCGAACCCUAGCUGGUCUGUGAGGAUGAGAUGCGACACUGGUGCUGAGACUGGGGCCAGACUCCUAGGGAGGCAGAAGUGGGGAAUAUGGCAAAAUGGGCGCAAGCCGGAUGCAGCCAUGACGCGUGUAUGAAGAAGGCCCUAGGGUUGUAAAGUACUUUCAGUAGGGAGGCGUUACCGACAGAAGAAGCACCGGCUAACUCCGUGCCAGCAGCCGCGGUAAUUC
rnacentral:rRNA from 1 species